CAGUGGAAGGUGACCCUGCCCGUGGUGAUCUCUGGGGUCUCUUCCAAUACAAAACUUUCUAUUUUUCUAAGGCCUGGCGUGAGCUCCGGCCUUGCAGAGCCCAGAUCCUCAGAAAGAGCCUGACUUCAGGCAGGCAGUGGGGAAAAGAAGGAGCGUGGUGAGGAGGUAGGAUGCCCUGCAUGCCAUCAGCUCGUGGAUUUGCUGCCAUGUAUGCUCAGGAACCCCAGGUUCUACAGCGUCCUGCAGCUUCACUGGAGAGCCCUGUCCCUGGAUGGAUUGGCCUGGUGGCUCAUUCCCUGCACAAAUCUGGAUUCCAGUCUGAAUUCAUCCAGGUUUAGCUGCCACUGCUGCUCCUCCAGCCCCUUCCCCUGCCACGGGAACAAUCUUCUGUGGAGAAAAGACCACGGCUGUGUGUGGCUUCAUCCAUUUCCAUCCCGAGAGAGCAGCAGGAGCACUGCCCGUGUGCCCCAGUGCUUCCCUGGCUCUGGGCAGC